rnacentral:rRNA from 1 species
UACGAAGGGUGCUAGCGUUGUUCGGAAUCAUUGGGCGUAAAGCGUGCGUAGGCGGUUUAGUAAGUCAACUGUGAAAGCCCAGGGCUUAACUUUGGAAUUGCAGUCGAAACUACUAGACUUGAAUGUGGUGGGGGAUAGUGGAAUUCCUAGUGUAGGGGUGAAAUCCGUAGAUAUUAGGAGGAACACCUGUGGCGAAAGCGGCUAUCUACACCAUUAUUGACGCUGAGGCACGAAAGUGUGGGGAGCAAACAGG